UACGUAUGGUGCAAGCGUUAUCCGGAAUGACUGGGUGUAAAGGGAGCGUAGACGGUUGUUCAAGUCUGAUGUGAAAGCCCUCGGCUUAACUGGGGGAGUGCAUUGGAAACUGAAGGACUAGAGUAUCGGAGAGGCAAGUGGAAUUCCUAGUGUAGCGGCGAAAUGCGUAGAUAUUAGGAGGAACACCAGUGGCGAAGGCGGCUUGCUGGACGAAAACUGACGUUGAGGCUCGAAAGCGUGGGGAGCAAACAGG
rnacentral:rRNA from 1 species